rnacentral:rRNA from 1 species
AUUGAACGCUGGCGGCAUGCCUUACACAUGCAAGUCGAACGGCAGCACGGGAGCAAUCCUGGUGGCGAGUGGCGAACGGGUGAGUAAUAUAUCGGAACGUGCCCAGGAGUGGGGGAUAACUGCUCGAAAGAGCAGCUAAUACCGCAUACGACCUGAGGGUGAAAGGGGGGGAGCGCAAGACCUCUCGCUAUUGGAGCGGCCGAGAUCAGAUAUGCUAGUUGGUAGGGGAAAGGCCUACCAAGGCAACGAUUUGUAGUUUGUCUGAGAGGACGACCAGCCACACUGGGACUGAGACACGGCCCAGGCUCCUACGGGAGGCAGCAGUGGGGAAUUUUGGACAAUGGGAGCAAGCCUGAUCCAGCAAUGCCGCGUGCAGGAAGAAGGCCUUCGGGUUGUAAACUGCUUUUGUCAGGGAAGAAAUCCUCUAGGUUAAUACCCUUGGGGGGAUGACGGUACCUGAAGAAUAAGCACCGGCUAACUACGUGCCAGCCGCCGCAGUAAAAC